rnacentral:rRNA from 1 species
CAAUAGCGUAUAUUUAAGUUGUUGCAGUUAAAAAGCUCGUAGUUGGAUUUCGGGUGGGACGCAGCGGUCUCGCAUUGCGUUUGUACUGCUGCAGCCCUCCUUCUUGCCGGGGGCGGCCUCUCGGACUUCACUGUCUGGGGGUCAGAAUCGGCGAUGUUACUUUGAGUAAAAUAGAGUGUUCAAAGCAAGCUUACGCUCUGAAUAUAAUAGCAUGGGAUAACACGACAGGACUCUGGCCUAUCGUGUUGGUCUAUAGGACCAGAGUAAUGAUUAAGAGGGACAGUCGGGGGCAUUCGUAUUCCGUUGUCAGAGGUGAAAUUCUUGGAUUUACGGAAGACGAACAUCUGCGAAAGCAUUUGCCAAGGAUGUUUUCAUUGA